AGCAUGUGGAUUAAUUCGAUGCAACGCGAAGAACCUUACCUGGGUUUGACAUACACCGGAAAACCGUAGAGAUACGGUCCCCUUGUGGUCGGUGUACAGGUGGUGCAUGGCUGUCGUCAGCUCGUGUCGUGAGAUGUUGGGUUAAGUCCCGCAACGAGCGCAACCCUUGUCUUAUGUUGCCAGCACGUGAUGGUGGGGACUCGUAAGAGACUGCCGGGGUCAACUCGGAGGAAGGUGGGGACGACGUCAAGUCAUCAUGCCCCUUAUGUCCAGGGCUUCACACAUGCUACAAUGGCCAGUACAGAGGGCUGCGAGACCGUGAGGUGGAGCGAAUCCCUUAAAGCUGGUCUCAGUUCGGAUCGGGGUCUGCAACUCGACCCCGUGAAGUCGGAGUCGCUAGUAAUCGCAGAUCAGCAACGCUGCGGUGAAUACGUUCCCGGGCCUU
rnacentral:rRNA from 1 species